rnacentral:rRNA from 1 species
UGGGUCCUACGGGACGCAGCAGUGGGGGAUAUUGCACAAUGGGGGAAACCCUGAUGCAGCGACGCCGCGUGAGCGAUGAAGUAUUUCGGUAUGUAAAGCUCUAUCAGCAGGGAAGAAAAUGACGGUACCUGACUAAGAAGCCCCGGCUAACUACGUGCCAGCAGCCGCGGUAAUACGUAGGGGGCAAGCGUUAUCCGGAUUUACUGGGUGUAAAGGGAGCGUAGAUGGCGCGGCAAGUCUGAAGUGAAAGGCAGGGGCUUAACCCCUGAACUGCUUUGGAAACUGCCAUGCUAGAGUGCUGGAGA